AGUAGUGUAUGGGGAUCUGCCCGAUAGAGGGGGGUAACUACUGGAAACGGUGGCUAAUACCGCAUAAUGUCUACGGACCAAAGCAGGGGCUCUUCGGACCUUGCACUAUCGGAUGAACCCAUAUGGGAUUAACUAGUAGGUGGGGUAAAGGCUCACCUAGGCGACGAUCUCUAGCUGGUCUGAGAGGAUGAUCAGCCACACUGGGACUGAGACACGGCCCAG
rnacentral:rRNA from 1 species